rnacentral:rRNA from 1 species
CCAAGGAGUCUAACAUGUGCGCGAGUCAUUGGGUCUCUUUGAAGCCUAAAGGCGCAAUGAAAGUGAAAGUCGUCCUUUGCGUCGACCGAGGGAGGAUGGCUCGCGUUACGAUGCGAGCUCGCACUCCCGGGGCGUCUCGUGCUCAUUGCGAGCAGAGGCGCACCCAGAGCGUACACGUUGGGACCCGAAAGAUGGUGAACUAUGCCUGGUCAGGACGAAGUCAGGGGAAACCCUGAUGGAGGUCCGUAGCGAUUCUGACGUGCAAAUCGAUCGUCGGAACUGGGUAUAGGGGCGAAAGACUAAUCGAACCAUC